GGGCUGUUAGCUCAGUUGGUAGAGCAGCGGACUCUUAAUCCGUAGGUCGAGUGUUCGAGCCACUCACAGCCCACCA
rnacentral:tRNA from 245 species